AAAACUAGGCAUAUGCUCUUGAUUUCUAUCGUUGGCAAUUUGUGGGCCCUGGAUAAGUGUUUGCUAUUUGCAUGUGUCUGGGGAAGCACCCUAGGAUACUAAGGGAUGUAGAAGAACUCAUAGAAGCAACUAUGAAUCCAGGAUAAAGAAGAGAGAUGGGAAGACAAAAGAAACAAAUAGGACUGAGAUACAGAUGAAGAACUGACAGUCUAUCCUGUGAGUUUAAUGUAA
rnacentral:lncRNA from 1 species